rnacentral:lncRNA from 1 species
CAAAUUAAGUUUGCAUUUUUUCCUUUUUUUAAGCCAAUUCGCAUAAAAAAUUUACAAAUUUUAAAUUUUUACAAAAUUAGAUUAUCUUUUUUAAUUUUACAGAUUUGGAUCGAAUUUUUCAUCCUUAGACGAAAAUAUCAUUAUUCCUUUUCUUUCUCUCUUUUCUUUUUUUCUCUCACUUUUUUUUCUCCUUUAUUAUUAUUUUUUCCACCAUCUUCUCCUCCGCAGCGCCCUCCACAUCGCCUCCUCCUCCUCCGACGAACCCACCUCCUCUUUCUGCCGCCUCUCCUUCUCCCACGACAACACCCCCACAUCCUCCCCCAGAUCUAACCUCCACCCCGACGGCGCCAAUCUCGAGGACUCCCGCGGCGGCAGCGGCGAAGGAGGAGGCC